UACGAAGGGGGCUAGCGUUGUUCGGAAUUACUGGGCGUAAAGCGCGCGUAGGCGGACCUGCAAGUCGGGGGUGAAAGCCCGAGGCUCAACCUCGGAACUGCCUUCGAUACUGCGGGUCUCGAGUCCGGGAGAGGUGAGUGGAAUUCCUAGUGUAGAGGUGAAAUUCGUAGAUAUUAGGAAGAACACCAGUGGCGAAGGCGGCUCACUGGCCCGGUACUGACGCUGAGGCGCGAAAGCCAGGGGAGCGAACGGG
rnacentral:rRNA from 1 species